rnacentral:rRNA from 1 species
GACGAACGCUGGCGGCGUGCCUAACACAUGCAAGUCAACUUGACUGAAGGAGCAAUCUGACAGUAGAGUGGCGCAAGGGUGCGUAACGCGUAAGUAACUUGCCCCAAGGUAAGGAAUAACGUCGAGAAAUCGGCGCUAAUACCUCAUAAUGCAGCGGAUCCGCAUGGAUAUGUUGUUAAAGGUUUACCGCCUUGGGAUAGGCUUGCGUCUGAUUAGUUAGUUGGUGUGGUAACGGCACACCAAGGCUACGAUCAGUAACUGGUCUGAGAGGAUGAUCAGUCACACUGGAACUGAGACACGGUCCAGACUCCUACGGGAGGCAGCAGUGAGGAAUAUUGGGCAAUGCUCGAAAGAGUGACCCAGCAACGCCGCGUGGAGGAUGAAGGUAUUCUAUAUCGUAAACUCCUGUGAGAGCAGACGAAAGACAGAUUAUUAAUCUGGAUGACUGUAUGCUCAGAGGAAGCCCCGG